AAGUCGUAACAAGGUUUCCGUAGGUGAACCUGCGGAAGGAUCAUUAACAUUUUGAAUGGAUUUGGGUGUGUGAGGAUUUCACGAUCCUUGCCACCUUCCUACCCCACAUUGUGUGCAUUUCUGUAGUAGUAGUAGAGUUGUGAAGGAGGGUUUUCAUUGAACCCAACUUUAUCUCUCUUCUUCUUCUCCUCAUAUCUCAUCUCCUAUCAAAACCCCUACCUUUUACUCAUCUAGUCUGAACUUAACACCUUUUUUCUCACUUACAAUGAGGAAAAAACCAAUCAGCAUACAACUCUUAGCAACGGAUAUCUAGGCUCUC
rnacentral:misc_RNA from 1 species